rnacentral:rRNA from 1 species
GAUGAACGCUGGCGGCGUGCCUAAUACAUGCAAGUCGAGCGAACGGACGAGAAGCUUGCUUCUCUGAUGUUAGCGGCGGACGGGUGAGUAACACGUGGAUAACCUACCUAUAAGACUGGGAUAACUUCGGGAAACCGGAGCUAAUACCGGAUGAUAUUUUGAACCGCAUGGUUCAAAAGUGAAAGACGGUCUUGCUGUCACUUAUAGAUGGAUCCGCGCUGCAUUAGCUAGUUGGUAAGGUAACGGCUUACCAAGGUGACGAUGCAUAGCCGACCUGAGAGGGUGAUCGGCCACACUGGAACUGAGACACGGUCCAGACUCCUACGGGAGGCAGCAGUAGGGAAUCUUCCGCAAUGGGCGAAGGCCUGACGGAGCAACGCCGCGUGAGUGAUGAAGGUCUUCGGAUCGUAAAACUCUGUUAUUAGGGAAGAACAUAUGUGUAAGUAACUGUGCACAUCUUGACGGUACCUAAUCAGAAAGCCACGGCUAACUACGUG